rnacentral:lncRNA from 1 species
CCGGCCCCUACUCGCACCCCGAACCGCCCCGCCUCCAUCCUGGCUGCUCCUGGCGCCCAGCUUGGCAGCCUCUCUCAAAGGGGACAAGCUCCUGAGUGGGAUCUCAGGGCCAUGGCAGUGAGGAGGCCUGUGCUCCACCAGCUCUGAAGAUACCAGCUACGUGAUGGGCUGAGGGAAUCCACAGCCAUGAUUUUGCUGAUGAGGGCAGAAAGGCCCAAGGAGGAGUCCACCAUCAUGCAGUGCACGUGCUCACCCACCAUUGCCCAGGCAGGGACACAAGAAACUCACAGUGAGAGCACCAGGCACCACCAAGAAGCCCUAGGAACACUGACCCUGUCUCUACAGUGGGCUCAUAACCCAGAUCAGCAAUGAGAGGAAGAAUCUUUGCCUUCACAUUAAAAUCAGUUGCCAGCCAACAGUGUCUUCAGGGUGAACACCUAUCGUCACCAUCCUUAUCACUGUCACCAUCACCGCCACCAACACCACUGUCGGUUCUAUUAUUUAUCAUCCAUGUGUAAUUUUACAUAAGUUCUGUGGAAGCUCAGACUGUGUUUUGUUCACCUAAGCAGCUCUUUCAUCUAUCGCAAUGCUUGGCACAUGCCUUGAUACCUAGCAAAUAUCUGAUCUUGUAAAUCUUCAUUAAAAUGAACAAAUGAGCUUUCAUAUGAAUUGUUUUGUUUGUGUGUUCCUAUGUAAAACCC